rnacentral:misc_RNA from 1 species
UUUCCGUAGGUGAACCUGCGGAAGGAUCAUUAAAGAGUAAGGGUGCUCAGCGCCCGACCUCCAACCCUUUGUUGUUAAAACUACCUUGUUGCUUUGGCGGGACCGCUCGGUCUCGAGCCGCUGGGGAUUCGUCCCAGGCGAGCGCCCGCCAGAAUUAAACCAAACUCUUGUUAUUUAACCGGUCGUCUGAGUUAAAAUUUUGAAUAAAUCAAAACUUUCAACAACGGAUCUCUUGGUUCUC